rnacentral:rRNA from 1 species
AACGAACGCUGGCGGCAUGCCUAACACAUGCAAGUCGAACGAGACCUUCGGGCCUAGUGGCGCACGGGUGCGUAACGCCUGGGAACCUACACUUAGGUUCGGAAUAACUCCCCGAAAGGGGUGCUAAUACCGGAUAAUGUCUUCGGACCAAAGAUUUAUCGCCUUUGGAUGGGCCCGCGUUGGAUUAGCUAGUUGGUAGGGUAAAAGCCUACCAAGGCGACGAUGCAUAGCUGGUCUGAGAGGAUGAUCAGCCACACUGGGACUGAGACACGGCCCAGACUCCUACGGGAGGCAGCAGUAGGGAAUAUUGGACGAUGGGCGAAAGCCUGAUCCAGCAAUGCCGCGUGAGUGAUGAAGGCCUUAGGGUUGUAAAGCUCUUUUACCCGGGAUGAUAAUGACAGUACCGGGUGAAGAAGCACCGGCUAACUCCGUG